rnacentral:rRNA from 1 species
CCUACGGGAUGCAGCAGUGAGGAAUAUUGGUCAAUGGACGAGAGUCUGAACCAGCCAAGUAGCGUGAAGGAUGACUGCCCUAUUGGUUGUAAACUUCUUUUAUAUGGGAAUAAAAUGUUCCACGUGUGGGAUUUUGUAUGUACCAUAUGAAUAAGGAUCGGCUAACUCCGUGCCAGCAGCCGCGGUAAUACGGAGGAUCCGAGCGUUCUCCGGAUUUAUUGGGUUUAAAGGUAACGGAGGUGGAUUGGUAAGUAAGUUGUGAAAGUUUGCGGUUCAACCGUAAAAUUGCAGUUGAAACUGGCAGUCUUGAGUACAGUAGAGGUGGGCGGAAUUCGUGGUGUAGCGGUGAAAUGCUUAGAUAUCACGAAGAAAUCCGAUUGCGAAGGCAGUUCACUGGACUGCAACUGACACUGAGGCUCGAAAGUGUGGGUAUCAAACAGGAUUAGAGACCCCAGUAGUC